UAAGGAAUAUUGGUCAAUGGACGCAAGUCUGAACCAGCCAUGCCGCGUGCAGGAUGACGGCCCUACGGGUUGUAAACUGCUUUUGUACGGGAAAAAACCUCCGGUCGUGAAUCGGAGCUGAUGGUACCGUAAGAAUAAGCAUCGGCUAACUCCGUGCCAGCAGCCGCGGUAAUACGGAGGAUGCAAGCGUUAUCCGGAUUCAUUGGGUUUAAAGGGUGCGCAGGCGGAAUGAUAAGUCAGUGGUGAAAUCUCUCGGCUCAACUGAGAAACUGCCAUUGAUACUGUUGUUCUUGAGUACACUUGAAGUGGGCGGAAUGUGUCAUGUAGCGGUGAAAUGCUUAGAUAUGACACAGAACACCGAUCGCGAAGGCAGCUCACUAAAUUGUAACUGACGCUCAGGCACGAAAGCGUGGGGAUCAAACA
rnacentral:rRNA from 1 species